rnacentral:rRNA from 1 species
AUACGGAGGGUCCGAGCGUUAUCCGGAAUCAUUGGGUUUAAAGGGUCCGUAGGCGGGAAUCUAAGUCAGUGGUGAAAUCUUGCAGCUCAACUGUAAAAUUGCCAUUGAUACUGGAUUUCUUGAAUUAGUGUGAAGUGGUUAGAAUGUGUAGUGUAGCGGUGAAAUGCAUAGAUAUUACACAGAAUACCAAUUGCGAAGGCAGAUCGCUAACACUAUAUUGACGCUAAGGGACGAAAGCGUGGGGAGCGAACAGGAUUAGAUACCCCGGUAGUCC